rnacentral:rRNA from 1 species
UACGAAGGGUGCAAGCGUUACUCGGAAUUACUGGGCGUAAAGCGUGCGUAGGUGGUUUGUUAAGUCUGUUGUGAAAGCCCCGGGCUCAACCUGGGAAUGGCAAUGGAUACUGGCAAGCUAGAGUGCGGUAGAGGGUAGUGGAAUUCCUGGUGUAGCGGUGAAAUGCGCAGAUAUCAGGAAGAACACCCGUGGCGAAGGCGGCUCUCUGGGACGGUACUGACGCUGAGACGCGGAAGCGUGGGGAGCGAACAGG